rnacentral:rRNA from 1 species
GAUGAACGCUAGCGGCAGGCUUAAUACAUGCAAGUCGAGGGGCAGCAUGAUUGUAGCAAUACAAUUGAUGGCGACCGGCAAACGGGUGCGGAACACGUACACAACCUUCCAAUAAGUGGGGAAUAGCCCAGAGAAAUUUGGAUUAAUACCCCGUAACAUAACGAUGUGGCAUCACAUUGUUAUUAAUGAUUUUUCGCUUAUUGAUGGGUGUGCGGCUGAUUAGAUAAUUGGCGGGGUAACGGCCCACCAAGUCUACGAUCAGUAGCUGAUGUGAGAGCAUGAUCAGCCACACGGGCACUGAGACACGGGCCCGACUCCUACGGGAGGCAGCAGUAAGGAAUAUUGGACAAUGGACGCAAGUCUGAUCCAGCCAUGCCGCGUGAAGGAUUAAGGUCCUCUGGAUUGUAAACUUCUUUUAUAAGGGACGAAAAAAGGCUUUUCUAAGUCGUCUGACGGUACCUUAUGAAUAAGCACCGGCUAACUCCGUGCCAGCCGCCGCAGUAACAC